CAGCUAUUGUGAUGAACUACAGUAAUGCAGCAGGUUCCCAGGAAGAAGACCCAUAUAUACAGAAAAUCCAACACUCUCAGAAUGUCAGUCUUAUACUUUAAAAUCUGAUGCAUUUGUGAUAUCAUUUCUGGAUCCAUAAUCAUCCUUGUUAGAUUGAUUAACAAGUCCUUCAUAGAUAAGGUGGAAAGAUAUACUUCUACUAUGUCGUUCUAUUAAAGUGGAAUAGGAAAGAAUUUCUGAGCUACAAAAAUGCAACGCUUUCAGAACAAGCUUUUUUCACCCAAAUACAGACAGCCUUUGUUUAAAAACUGCCUUGUUCAACUCUUCA